CCAGAGCGUAGCCUACAGUCUUGGUUCCCAUAUGCUCUACGCUAUGGGCUACAGGCUCGACCCUAUGGUAUGAACGCUCGACCCUAUGGUCAAUACCUAGAAUAGAAUUUUGCAUUUGCAAAACACUACAGAAAAUAUGUACAAAAUGUAAGCUAUCUCUGAACCGGACGGACAGUUAGGUGGCACAGCUACAUACGUGACACAAGAACACACUGGAUAUUAUGAUGCGACGCGUCUUGAACAUUCCGCCCUCUCGCUAUAAGAAAGGAAAACGAGCUCAAAUACUGCACCUGGGAAUGAAGAAUGAGGCGUUGGGGUAGACUGAGAGGGAGAAAUGGAAAAUAUACCUCUCCGCUCCCCUCUCCCUCUUUUCUUGGAAUGUAUUUCUCAGUCUUCUUACCCUCGUUUUUUCUAUGUCACUCUCCCCUCCCUCUCUUUUCCCUGUGCUCAGAAUACUAAGCGGGCUACGUCUCUGCUUGCUGACUAUGUAGCGCUACCAGUGCUAAAUACAUACUGAUGUAGGCUGUAUGUGGGGUAGAGAGGGGAGAGUAGAGCAGAGCGCGGGGAGGGGAAGGUAGAUGGUGUGAGAAGAGGGUGUUGCUAGAGGCGAGGAAACGGAUGGUGCGAUGGGGACCACUGUUUUCUCGGCCCACCGCCAAAGGGACACGGCUUAUGUGCCAUGGAGACCGGACGAGUGCCCCCAGUGAUAACGCGCAGCACCUCGUUAGGAUGAAAUCAUGGUGUCGUGAUUAUUUCCCUUUUGUGUGUCUACCUUUCCAACGGUGAGACACGAUGUAGCCUCAGGCAUUCCACUGUAUAUGGUUGAAAAGCGUAUAACUUUCCCCAAAUACUUUUUUCUUCUGAAAUCCAUCUAGAAUAGAAAAUAAUCCAUAAUCCUCCAAAGAUUUUGGCGAAGUCUGCGGAAUGUUGCCACCAUAAGAGUCUAAAUUUCUAGGGUUGCACAGCUACGCCGGAGACAACCUAUGAGACCGUAAGCUACUUGAGAGAGCUAAUUGAAGCUGUGUCUAGGCGUUGCAGGCUAGCGUCUAAAGUUAUAUAAGCCUUUCCUCUCAUAUUCCAAGUUAGUAAUGGUAUUCUAGUUAUGGUUUAUAUAGGGGUAUUACCUACCGUGCUAAUUAGGGCUACACUUCCUUUAGGAUUAAACGUUCUGUUUUGUUCCUGUUCCAGUUCCAAAUGUCUUUGAAGUAGUAAAAUGUCUUGUUCUUUGGUCGGAAAUGUACACUAUCUACAACAUUUUAAAACUGUUAGUUGAAUGUUUGUCCAUAGCAGGACAGAUAUCCUCUAUGCUGACCUUGCCCACUGUGUAAAUAGCACUGCUCAGCAUUUCAAGCAUAAGGUAAAAUUAUCAGAAUAGCAUACCCAUCUAGGGCCUGUGCUUUAACUGGAGGAAUCUGUGAGCACCCGAACACACAGAGGAUGGUACAGUAAUGCUUGCUCUUUG
ensembl:lncRNA